CACACCGCCCGUCACACCAUGGGAGUUGGUCUUACCCGACGGCGCUGCGCCAACCGCAAGGAGGCAGGCGAUCACGGUAGGGUCAGCGACUGGGGUG
rnacentral:rRNA from 1 species